UACGGGGGGGGCAAGCGUUGUUCGGAAUUACUGGGCGUAAAGGGCUCGUAGGCGGCCAACUAAGUCCGACGUGAAAUCCCCAGGCUUAACUUGGGAACUGCGUCGGAUACUAGUUGGCUUGAAUCCGGGAGAGGGAUGCGGAAUUCCAGGUGUAGCGGUGAAAUGCGUAGAUAUCUGGAGGAACACCGGUGGCGAAGGCGGCAUCCUGGACCGGCAUUGACGCUGAGUGAGCGAAAGCCAGGGGAGCAAACGGG
rnacentral:rRNA from 1 species